rnacentral:rRNA from 1 species
GACGAACGCUGGCGGCGUGCCUAAUACAUGCAAGUUGAGCGCUGAAGGUUGGUACUUGUUCCAACUGGAUGAGCAGCGAACGGGUGAGUAACGCGUGGGGAAUCUGCCUUUGAGCGGGGGACAACAUUUGGAAACGAAUGCUAAUACCGCAUAAAAACUUUAAACACAAGUUUUAAGUUUGAAAGAUGCAAUUGCAUCACUCAAAGAUGAUCCCGCGUUGUAUUAGCUAGUUGGUGAGGUAAAGGCUCACCAAGGCGAUGAUACAUAGCCGACCUGAGAGGGUGAUCGGCCACAUUGGGACUGAGACACGGCCCAAACUCCUACGGGAGGCAGCAGUAGGGAAUCUUCGGCAAUGGACGAAAGUCUGACCGAGCAACGCCGCGUGAGUGAAGAGGGUUUUCGGAUCGUAAAACUCUGUUGGUAGAGAAGAACGUUGGUGAGAGUGGAAAGCUCACCAAGUGACGGUAACUACCCAGAAAGGGACGGCUAACUACGUG